GCCCUAAGAGCUCCUUGAGCAUCCCGCGUGUUGAGCCAGAGGCAGCGGUGAAUGAGAGCCUGCGCAGUCCACGGAGGAGACAGAUAACCAAACCGAAAGCUACCGCAGUGUGAAAACUGCUGGGACCAAGGAAGUAGGGAACGAAGGUCUCCCAGACACACAUCUCUUUCAGAGGAAAGCAGAUUUCUGCAAUCAAAUCUCUGUAGAGUAGAAAUCAUCCAGAAAAUUCUUUGGAAAUGUUUAGAACGGUUUCCUUCCAGAAGAACUAGCAAGACCUUCUUAUGGCCUAACCCUAUGGAGUGCUCUUAACCACGUAUCCCAAGGAGCAUGUUGUAAAGAAAGGUUCAUAGCCUUUGGAAUCUUGGCUCUACCACCUCCCAGCUGCAUGAGCUUGUGCAUGUUACUUCACUGCUGAGGACUUCAGUUUUUUCAUCCAUUAACAGUAGAUGGAGAAACUGAUCACAGAAGUAGUAACAGGAUGGGAGCACCCACACCGGUAGUGGAGGUGGCACUCUGAAAAGAGGUGGACACUGAGUGACAAUCACAGCUGGAAUGAUGGGAGAAACCACAGACGAACAGGACAGCUGCAGGGUCUGAAACAUCCAGGAUCCACAAGGAAGGGUAAAG